UGGUCACACCUCCCUUUCAAUGCCUGAUUUUCAAUUCCUCCAGCUCUCCUCUCCUACCCUAAACACUUUUCCAUAUAUUCAACAAUUUUGUUGUGCUCACUCAUAGUGCUAAACCUAAAGCUGUGUUUUUGUGGGUUUCCCCAGCUUUCACGAGUAAAUUGCCAUGUUACCUCUACAUCCACUGACUAUUCAAAAGCAACCUUACCUGAUCCAAAGAACUGGAAGCAUUUCAUCAUGGUUAUGUACCUGCCUCCUUUUCUGCUACCUGAGAGAGCAGCGUCCAUUUGUUGAUCUGAUCUUUUAAACGUGCACAAGGAUGGUGUUUCAUGAUUUCAGGGAAAACAAGAUGUGAAAAAAAUUUGAUUUACACUUUAGACUUACAUUAAUUUGAGCCUGGGGGUCUGCUGAAAACUUCUGAGCUGCCUGAAAAUCGGAUUAGGAUUGAGAGAUUACAAUGUACAAGAACAAGAUUCCCAAACAUGUUCCAGCAUGACAGUGCCCUUGUCGACAAAGCAAGCUCCAUGUAUUCAUGGUUUACCAAGGAUGGAGUGGAAAAACUUGAGUGACCUGCACAGAGCCCUGACAUCGUCUCCACAGAAAAGCAGGCCUCCUCACAUGGCAUCAGUGCUUGACUUCACUAAUGCUCUUUUGCCUGAAUCAACAAAUCCUCACGACCACAUGCCAAAGUCUAUUUGAAAGCCUUCCCAGAAGAGUGGAUGUUAUUAUAACAACAAAUGGACUACUUAAAAAGGAUGUUGAACAAGCACAUGUUGACAUGCUGGUCAGGUGUCCACAAACUUUUGGCCAUAUAAUGUACACUGAAGAGAUUUAAAACUCCUUUUUAGACAUUCAGACAAGCCCAUGCCCAGCAAGUCAGACUCCCACAACUCCGUGAGCCAACAAGUCUUGCUCAGUAGGCUGUGUGCUGCAUACCCCAACUAUGCCCAGAGUUAUGCCCAGCCUAUGCCCUACCAAAGCCCCAGCACCAUCCCAUCAGCACCGGAGUCCAGCCCCAUGGGGAGCGUUCGGACAUCCUCAGAAGGGGAGACACCUGUUAAUAUUACAUUUACAUUUUCAGCAUUUAGCAAACACACUUAUACAGAGCAACUUAUAUUUUAUCCUAUUUUUAUAUGACUGAGCAAUUAAGAAUUGAGGGUUAAAGAACCAUCCAAUCAGUAGUCCAAUGCCUUGUCCACUAUGCUACCACUCAGUUGUGCAAUAAGCUCUGACUUAAGCUGUCUUCAUUGUCCAAAAGACUACCCAAGCAUCCAUUGCCUUCACUUACUUCAAGCUACUCUUCUGGCCGUGAAUUGGGGGGUUGUUGAAAGUGGCCCAAGAAGUGUGGAAAGAGCAGCUCUAUCCCUAACACUCUCUAAUAGCAGGAAGUGAAGGACCGCAUUAAGAAAGUCAACCCUAUUGUAAGAGGAAGGCUACACAACGGGAUCAGCAAUGCAGCAAAACACACAGACCCGGCACAGACAAGAGGAUUUAAACCUGGCGACAAAGUUCUACAGCUCGUCCACAAUGCUGCAUGUAAGUUUCUUGCACAGUGGCAGGGCCCUUAGUCCACAGUCCUCAACAGGGUGGGAGCUGUCAACUAUCAACUACAACAGCUGGGCAAGAAUUAAAACUAUACCAUUACCACUAAACUAUACCAUGUCAACCUGCUUAGAAAUGUCUGGAACCUGCCUCCAUUGUGUCUGCAAUUGUUGUCACCCCCACAGGUCCCAUAGAGUGUACCUUGGUACAGAGAGGGGCUGAUCUUACUCUGUCCCAGCUGCAGGGAGGGGCUAAUCUUCCCCUGUCCUCACACACCUGGUCCACCAUGAGAUCAAGACCACUGCAGGCCUUAUAGGGCCCCAAAAGCCUGCCGUUGAGCCAUAGAGGAGGAAGUAGGCCGAAUGCUUUACAAAGUGAUACUGGAAGGUCACCCUAGCACCAGAUGCAAAUGGAAAUACAGCCUUCAGCCGUGCCAGUGGUCACUGGCGGUAUCAGAUUCUCCUGUGUGGGCCACAUGGAGCCCCCACAAGAUUACAGGGACUGAUGGAUAUGAUGCUGUGAUCCCAGCAAUACGUAUCUGUGUUAUUGCAGAUGUUCUUUGGAUGUCUGUGUAGGUUUCCUUCCACCUCCCAAAAAAGUAUACUGUAUGUGUAAGUGGUUUGUGGCUCUAAAAUGACCCAGGUGUGAAUGAUUAUUCAAAGGUAUACAUGUGUGGUGCUCUGCAAUCCACUGCAACACUAACAAAGAUAAAAUGGUUACUGCAGAUUAAAUAAUGAAUCUGCUGUUUCCAUUGAUCCAGAGUGUUGAACUGAAGGCCCCAGGCAACACAGAGACCCUAUAGGCCUAUUAUGCCUAUUACUGGCACCAGCUGCAUGUUCAAAUAAUACAGCCAUUGCUCUCACACUAAACUCUCUUACCU